GUAGUCUGCACAGAUGCAUAUCAUAAGCGGAGGAAAAGAAACUAACAAGGAUUCCCUUAGUAACGGCGAGUGAAGCGGGAAGAGCUCAAAUUUGAAAUCUUAAAGGUCUACCUUGCACGAAUUGUAGUUUAAAGAAGUGUUUUCUGUUGACGAUCUGGUAAUAUAAGUUCUUUGGAAUAGGACAUCACUAGAGGGUGAGAAUCCCGUCUAUGAUUGCAUAUUUGUAGCUGUGUGAUACACUUUCAAAGAGUCGGAUUGUUUGGGAAUGCAGUCCCAAAACUGGGAGGUAAAUUUCAUUCUAAAGCUAAAUAUUGGCGAGAGACCGAUAGCGAACAAGUACCGUGAGGGAAAGAUGAAAAGAACUUUGAAAAGAGAGUUAAAUAGUACGCGAAAUUGUCAAAAGGGAAGCGUUUAACACCAGUGUUGUUUUCUGAAAAUCAACCUCUGUUAGCUUUAUGCAUGUUUGUUUAGACCUAAUCAGCUAUCUUGCAUGUUCUAUUGUUUGCAGUGGUGCACUUUUCAGUUUACAGGUCAACAUCAGUUUUUUUUACCGUAAAAAAGUUAAAGAAAGGUAGCUCAUGGCUCCGGUCGUGAGUGUUAUAGUCUUUUUCCUAUGCGGUAGGAGAGACUGAGGUCUGCAGUGUAGGCUAUUUGGCUAGAUACUCAGGUGCUAUGUGAUACCAUUUCAUAAACAACUUGUUGAUUAUGUUUAUGUCUAUUGCAUACUCGCUUGUACUAUCAUACCUACGCUUAGGAUGUUGAAGAUGUAGCACAUCAU
rnacentral:rRNA from 1 species